GCCCGUCUAGCUCAGUUGGUAGAGCCAAUGGCUAUUAACCUCGUGGUUGUGGGAUCGAGCCCCACAGUGGGCG
rnacentral:tRNA from 1 species